rnacentral:rRNA from 1 species
GAGCGGGACCUUCGGUGUGCAGCGGCGGACGGGUGAGUACACCUGGGUAACCUGCCUGAUAGACCGGGAUAACGCUUGGAAACGAGUGCUAAUACCGGAUAGGCUCUUGAAGCGCAUGCUUCGAUAGGGAAAGAGGCUAUCGCCUCACUGUCAGAUGGACCCGCGGCGCAUAAGCUAGUUGGUGAGGUAACGGCUCACCAAUGCGACGAUGCGUAUCCGACCUGAGAGGGUGACCGGCCACACUGGGACUGAGACACGGUCCAUACUCCUACGGGAGGCAGCAGUAUGGAAUCUUCCGCAAUGGGCGCAAGCCUGACGGAGCAACGCCGCGUGAGUGAUGAAGGCCUUCGGGUUGUAAAACUCUGUCUUCUGUGAAGAACAAUCCUGUGAGUGGAAAGCUCAUGCCUUGACGGUAACAGAUGAGGAAUCCCCGGCUAACUACGUGCCAGCAGCCGCGGUAAU